AGAGUUUUGAUCCUGGCUCAGGAUGAACGCUGGCGGCGUGCCUAAUACAUGCAAGUCGAGCGAACGGAUAAGGAGCUUGCUCCUUUGAAGUUAGCGGCGGACGGGUGAGUAACACGUGGGUAACCUACCUAUAAGACUGGAAUAACUUCGGGAAACCGGAGCUAAUGCCGGAUAACAUUUGGAACCGCAUGGUUCUAAAGUAAAAGAUGGUUUUGCUAUCACUUAUAGAUGGACCCGCGCCGUAUUAGCUAGUUGGUAAGGUAACGGCUUACCAAGGCAACGAUACGUAGCCGACCUGAGAGGGUGAUCGGCCACACUGGAACUGAGACACGGUCCAGACUCCUACGGGAGGCAGCAGUAGGGAAUCUUCCGCAAUGGACGAAAGUCUGACGGAGCAACGCCGCGUGAGUGAUGAAGGUUUUCGGAUCGUAAAACUCUGUUAUUAGGGAAGAACAAAUGUGUAAGUAACUGUGCACAUCUUGACGGUACCUAUCAGAAAGCCNCGGCUAAUAACG
rnacentral:rRNA from 1 species